rnacentral:rRNA from 1 species
UCAGGCCUAACACAUGCAAGUCGAACGGCAGCGCGGGCUUCGGCCUGGCGGCGAGUGGCGAACGGGUGAGUAAUGCAUCGGGACGUGCCCAAGAGUGGGGGAUAACUAGUCGAAAGAUUAGCUAAUACCGCGUACGAUCUAAGGAUGAAAGUGGGGGACCGCAAGGCCUCAUGCUCCUGGAGCGGCCGAUGUCUGAUUAGCUAGUUGGUGGGGUAAAAGCCUACCAAGGCGACGAUCAGUAGCUGGUCUGAGAGGACGACCAGCCACACUGGGACUGAGACACGGCCCAGACUCCUACGGGAGGCAGCAGUGGGGAAUUUUGGACAAUGGGGGCAACCCUGAUCCAACAGUGCCGCGUGUGUGAAGAAGGCCUUCGGGUGUAAAUCACGGUGUCAGGAACGAAACGGCGAGGGCUAAUAUC